rnacentral:rRNA from 1 species
GACGAACGCUGGCGGCGUGCUUAACACAUGCAAGUCGAACGGAAAGGCCCUGCUUUUGUGGGUUGCUCGAGUGGCGCACGGGUGAGUAACACGUGAGUAACCUGCCCUUGACUUUGGGAUAACUUCACGAAACUGGGGCUCAUACCGGAUAUGAUCUCCUGCUGCAUGUGGGGGGUUGGAAAGUUUCGGCGGUUGGGGAUGGACUCGCGGCUUACCAGCUGGUUGGGCGGGUAGGGGCUUACCAAGCUUUUGACGGGUAGCCGGCCUAGGAGGGUGACCGGCCACAUGGGGACUGAGAUAGGGCGCAGACGCCUACGGGAGGCAGCAGUGGAGAAUAUUGCACAAUGGGCGGAAGCCUGAUGCAGCAACGCCGCGUGCGGGAUGACGGCCUUCGGGUUGUAAACCGCUUUCGCCUGUGACGAAGCGUGAGUGACGGUAAUGGGUAAAGAAGCACCGGCUAACUACGUG